GUGCUCGCUUCGGCAGCACAUAUACUAAAAAACUGGAACGAUACAGAGAAUAUUAGCACGGCCCCUACACAAGGAUGACAUGCAAACUCGUGAAGCGCUCCAUAUUUUG
rnacentral:snRNA from 1 species